UAGGGAAUCUUCCGCAAUGGACGCAAGUCUGACGGAGCAACGCCGCGUGAGUGAAGAAGGUUUUCGGAUCGUAAAGCUCUGUUGUUAAGGAAGAACGAGUGUGAGAAUGGAAAGUUCAUACUGUGACGGUACUUAACCAGAAAGGGACGGCUAACUACGUGCCAGCAGCCGCGGUAAUACGUAGGUCCCGAGCGUUGUCCGGAUUUAUUGGGCGUAAAGCGAGCGCAGGCGGUUAGAUAAGUCUGAAGUUAAAGGCAGUGGCUCAACCAUUGUAGGCUUUGGAAACUGUUUAACUUGAGUGCAGAAGGGGAGAGUGGAAUUCCAUGUGUAGCGGUGAAAUGCGUAGAUAUAUGGAGGAACACCAGUGGCGAAGGCGACUUUCUGGUCUGUAACUGACGCUGAUGUGCGAAAGCGUGGGGAUCAAACAGG
rnacentral:rRNA from 1 species